rnacentral:lncRNA from 1 species
GAAUCCGCCGCAGGAAAUGUAGCAGAAUCAUGGCCGCGAUUGUGGCCUAGGAGUGCUGAUCUGUCGGCUGAAGUUCGGCAGUGGUCAGAGUCCGACCACCGUAGAGAUCCGGACGAAGACUGUCUGCAGCCGUUGGAAUCGAGGACGGGGCCCGGCUCUCACAGGAGUUCGGGCGAAGCCUUCCUGCAAUCAAGGUUAAAGGCGAAGUCCGGCUUCCGUCGGAGUUCGGUCAAGGCUUACCAGCAGUUAACGUUGAGAACGGAGCCCGGCUCCCGUAGGAGUCCGCCCAGCUCCCGUAGGAGUCCGGGCGAAGUUUUCCUGCAGUCAAGGUUAAAGGCGAAGUCCGGCUCCCGUAGGAGUCCGGACGGGGCUCACCAGCAGUUGACGCU